rnacentral:rRNA from 1 species
UACGUAGGGGGCAAGCGUUGUCCGGAAUCAUUGGGCGUAAAGCGCGUGUAGGCGGCUUGGUAAGUCUGCUCUGAAAGCCCGGGGCUCAACCCCGGGAGGCGGGUGGAUACUGCCGAGCUCGAGUCCGGAAGAGGCGAGUGGAAUUCCUGGUGUAGCGGUGAAAUGCGCAGAUAUCAGGAAGAACACCAAUGGCGAAAGCAGCUCUCUGGGACGGUACUGACGCUGAGACGCGAAAGCGUGGGGAGCGAACAGG